UGCAUUUAUUGUGUGUCUGCCCAAGU
rnacentral:piRNA from 1 species